rnacentral:rRNA from 1 species
UACGUAGGGUGCGAGCGUUAAUCGGAUUUACUGGGCGUAAAGCGUGCGCAGGCGGCCCGUUAAGACAGGUGUGAAAUCCCUGGGCUUAACCUAGGAAUUGCGCUUGUGACUGGAGGGCUCGAGUACGGUAGAGGGGGGUGGAAUUCCUGGUGUAGCAGUGAAAUGCGUAGAGAUCAGGAGGAACACCGAUGGCGAAGGCAGCCACCUGGGCCUGUACUGACGCUCAUGCACGAAAGCGUGGGGAGCAAACAGG